rnacentral:rRNA from 1 species
UGGGCAACCUGCCCCUCUCUCUGGGAUAACCCCGGGAAACCGGAGCUAAUACCGGAUACUCCGGCUGGAUCGCAUGAUCCGGCCGGGAAAGGUCCGCCGGAGAGGGAUGGGCCCGCGGCCUAUCAGCUUGUUGGUGGGGUGAUGGCCUACCAAGGCGAUGACGGGUAGCCGGCCUGAGAGGGCGACCGGCCACACUGGGACUGGGACACGGCCCAGACUCCUACGGGAGGCA